rnacentral:misc_RNA from 1 species
CAAAUUCUACGGAGUGCAUAUAUUUCUAUUCCAAGUCACUGAAGUUACGGCCAAAAUGGCUGGACAGUCGUCGUCUCAAACCCAAACAGAAACACUUUCCGAAAAAGAUAUCAACGAUGGGGCUCAGCGAAAAAGUCUGAUGUAUUCAUUGAAAACUAUGUCCCUGGCAAGCUGGCCGAAAUGGGCUUGGACUACAAGUCUUUGAGCGAAGCAGCACCAGGGCUGAUCUAUUGUUCGAUUACUGGCUAUGGCUCUGAAGGUCCGUAUGCCACUCGCCCAGGCUACGAUGUGAUUGCGGCUUCCUUGGGUGGUUUAAUUAAUAUAACAGGUCCCAAAGAUGGAGAGCCCUGCAAAGUAGGAGUUGCCGUCACUGAUAUGGCCACUGGUUUGUAUGCUCACGGAGCAAUAAUGGCUGCGCUGCUCCAAAGGUUCAAAACCAACAGAGGACAGUGGAUCCAAUGUAAUUUACUCUCUACCCAGGUCGCCAGCCUAGUUAAUAUUGCUUCUAAUUACUUAAACGCUGGUAAGGAAGCUUCAAGGUGGGGUACGGCACAUGAGAGUAUUGUACCUUAUGAAGCAUUCCCAACUAAGGAUGGAUUUAUUUCUGUGGGAGCUGGCAGUGACGUACAGUUUUUAGCCCUGUUAAAAAUGAUGAAUCUAACUAACUUGGAGAAAGAUCCCAAAUUUAGAACAAAUAUCGAUAGAGUAAAACACAGGGUAGAGCUCAUCAACAUACUUAGAGAUAACUUUAAGACCAAAACCAGUGAUGAUUGGUCUGAAAUUUUUCGAGAUGCUCCCUUUCCAAAUGGACGUAUCAAUACGAUUGGCCAGGUCUUUGACGAUCCACACAUUAAGCACAUAAAGUUGGUCAAAGAAAUGAUCCAACCAAGCAUAGGAAAGGUGAAAGUUGUCGGUCCGCCAGUGAGCUACAGCUAUGCUGACAAUUCUGUUAGAUCGCCACCCCCAAUUUUAGGACAGCACACCAAUGAAGUCUUGAAAAACGUUUUAAAGUAUUCAGAUGAGAAAAUAUCAAGAUUAGUGACUGAGAAAAUAAUUCAGUAAAUAACUGCGCUGGAAGAUUCAGUUGAAAUAUGAAAUUAUUUGAAUAUUUUCAGUAUUGUAAACACAAGAUAUACCAACUAUGAGAUUAUGUUUACGUAAGCCAAAAUCCAGUAAAAAAGUUCAGUGGACACAAGGAACUGUCGAUAAUGAGCAUAUGAAUAAAAAAAAGUCUAAAU